AGAGUUUGAUCAUGGCUCAGAGCGAACGUUAGCGGCGCGCCUAACACAUGCAAGUCGAGCGAGAAAGGGAGCAAUCCUGAGUAGAGCGGCGCACGGGUGCGUAACACGUAGAUAACCUGCCCUAUGAAGGGGGAUAACGUUCCGAAAGGAGCGCUAAUACCGCAUACAGCGCAGAGGGGUUCGCCUCUUUGCGGCAAAGGUUGGGACCCGCAAGGCCAAUCGUCAUAGGAGGGGUCUGCGGCCCAUCAGCUAGUUGGUGAGGUAAUGGCUCACCAAGGCGAAGACGGGUAGCUGGUCUGAGAGGAUGAUCAGCCACACUGGUACUGGAACACGGACCAGACUCCUACGGGAGGCAGCAGUGGGGAAUCUUGGUCAAUGGGCGCAAGCCUGAACCAGCGACGCCGCGUGAGUGAUGAAGGCCUUCGGGUUGUAAAGCUCUGUGGGGAGGGACGAAAGAGCUCAGUCGAAUAGGCUGAGUAGUUGACGGUACCUCCUUAGCAAGCACCGGCUAACUCUGUGCCAGCAGCCGCGGUAAGACAGAGGGUGCAAACGUUGCUCGGAAUUACUGGGCGUAAAGCGCGUGUAGGCGGAUUUGCAAGUCAGAUGUGAAAUCCCUGGGCUCAACCCAGGAACUGCAUUUGAAACUGUGAGUCUUGAGUAUCGGAGAGGAAAGCGGAAUUCCUGGUGUAGAGGUGAAAUUCGUAGAUAUCAGGAGGAACACCGGUGGCGAAGGCGGCUUUCUGGACGAUAACUGACGCUGAGACGCGAAAGCGUGGGGAGCAAACAGGAUUAGAUACCCUAGUAGUCC
rnacentral:rRNA from 1 species